rnacentral:rRNA from 1 species
AGAGUUUGAUCAUGGCUCAGAUUGAACGCUGGCGGCGUGCCUAACACAUGCAAGUCGAGCGGUAACAGGUGUAGCAAUACAUGCUGACGAGCGGCGAACGGGUGAGUAAUGCUUUGGAAUCUUCCCAGUAGUGGGGAAUAACCAGUCGAAAGAUUGGCUAAUACCGCAUACGUCUGUAAAGGGAAAGCGGGGGCUCGUAAGACCUCGCGCUAUUGGAUGAGCCAAAGUCGGAUUAGCUAGUUGGUGGGGUAAUGGCCUACCAAGGCGACAAUCCGUAGCUGGUCUGAGAGGACGACCAGCCACACCGGAACUGAGACACGGUCCGGACUCCUACGGGAGGCAGCAGUGGGGAAUAUUGGACAAUGGGGGAAACCCUGAUCCAGCGACGCCGCGUGUGUGAAGAAGGCCUGCGGGUUGUAAAGCACUUUUAGUGGGGACAAAAAGCUACGGAUUAAUACUCUGUGGUCUUGAUUUAACCCAAAGAAAAAGCACCGGCUAACUCUGUGCCAGCAGCCGCGGUAAUACAGAGGGUGCGAGCGUUAAUCGGAAUUACUGGGCGUAAAGCGCGCGUAGACGGUUUUGUAAGUCAGAUGUGAAAUCCCUGGGCUCAACCUGGGAACUGCAUUCGAGACUGCAUGGCUAGAGUAUCGAAGAGGGAAGUGGAAUUUCCGGUGUAGCGGUGAAAUGCGUAGAUAUCGGAAGGAACACCAGUGGCGAAAGCGACUUCCUGGUCGAAUACUGACGUUCAUGUGCGAAAGCGUGGGGAGCAAACAGGAUUAGAUACCCUAGUAGUCC